UGGGGGCGGGGGGCGGACGCGGCCUGGCAGCGCGCGGAUUGGGCGCCGGUGGGUGCGGGGCGCCGGCGGCAGCCCGCCCUCCAACUCCCCGAGGUUGCCGUGAUUCCCGCUCACUCAUAGAGAGGGAAACUGAGGCGCGCCGCAGCCCUGGAGGCCGGAGGUCCGCUUUCAAGGGGUCGGCAGAGCCGUGUUCCCUCCAAAGACUCCGGGGAAGGAUCUGUUCCCCGCCUCUCCCGGCUGCUGGUGGCUGGCCGCCAUCUUUGGCAAUCCUUGGCUUGUGGAUGCAUCACUCCGGUCUCUGCCACUGCUGUCACAUCAGUGUACUGCUGCUCUCCUGUGGACGGCCUUUUGGGUGGUGUCCAGGCGCCUGCUACUUGGAAGUGCUGUUUGGAUGUUCCUGUGAAUGGCUCUGCUACAUGCAUGUGGGAGUUCCUCUGGGGUGUUUACUAGAAGCGGAAUCACCAGGACUGAGAAUAUGUGAACGCUCAACUUUAGGAAACAAUAGCAAAUAGCUUGUUAAAGUCGUCAUACUGUUUACACUCCCACCAGCAAGGCAUAGGAUCCACGUUCUCUCCGGCACUUGGUAUUAUUAGUUUUGAAAAUGUUUGCCAGUUGAGUAUAAAACUGUUUCCAGUUGAGACCUUGAUCUGCAUUUCUGUGAUCACUCAUGAUGUUGAACGUCUUUCUCAACUCAAGGUCUAAAAUAGAUUCACCUGUACUUUCUCCUAAGGUUCUGAAGCGUCAUUCUAGACAUAGGAGUUCAUAAUCUAUCAU